GGAUGAAUAUUGCGCAAUGGAGGAAACUCUGACGCAGCGACGCCGCGUGAAGGAUGAAGGCCCUCUGGGUCGUAAACUUCUGUAGAGAGGGAAGAAUUUUUCGCUUCGCGAAAUUGACGGUACCUCUAAAGUAAGGGUCGGCUAACUACGUGCCAGCAGCCGCGGUAAUACGUAGGACCCAAGCGUUGUCCGGAUUUACUGGGUGUAAAGGGAGCGCAGGCGGAUUUUCAAGUCGAUGGUGAAAUCUUGC
rnacentral:rRNA from 1 species